GAACUGGAGUCAGUUGGCUGCUGUGAGAAGGAAGAGGCAGUGCCUAGAGGAGCUGUCUGUGAGACUUAUCAAGAAGGAAGGCUUUGUUGUGCUCUAAUACACCCAGAAUACAAGAAGCUAUAGUUGACAACUGCUGUACUCAUGAAACAACACUUUAGCUACAUGUAUUUUAUUAAACAGUAUUUAAUCCAGUUUUACUUCUGUUUGCUCCUGCUCUGAGUCCCACCUUGCUGUUCCAGAGGAGCUGCUGCCCUCCUGCCCAAGGACUGGGAGCAAUUCCUCCCGCAGUGUGAGAUGGAGACCAGAGUCUGACUGCACCAUGGGCUUCAGGACUGACCAGAGCUGUCACUUGUCAGCCCAAGCCAUGUUUGAAACUCAUCCUAGAAAACAAAUGUGCAGGCCAGAGACAAGCACUUCUUGCACUCACCAGGGCAGCCCUCAUGACAGCUAAGCAGAUAGAAAUCACCAUCAGAAUGGAAGGCAGGAUGUGUUUCUGUGUGCUGAUGAGCACAAGGGUCUCUCAGCAGUGGUGGCACACUGAAGAAGGCAGUGGUGGUGGCAGAGCUGGACUGUCCAGGAUGUUAUGUUUGUAGUUUGCCCUGGCUGACCCUUGGGGGACGCUGGCCUGUGGCUGCUCCCUCACAUGCAUGCAGCAAACACAUGGAGUGUGGACAGUCAGGAGAUGGACCUCAAAAAUAUAUUCCUGGUGGGAAGGGAGGGGCAUCAGCUGCAAUCCUUGAAGAAGGCAAUGCUUUGCCUGAUUUGUUGAAUACUGAAGCAAGAACAAGGUUUGUGUAAGGUGAAAUCAAAUGUGGCCAUGGUUACAGAUGAGUAGAAUCAAUUAUCAUCCAAUUUUAAGCUGUGAAGGAAUCCUCCUGCACGGCCACUGGAGGUUAGGAGCAGCAGGUCCACUCUCCAUCCUGUCCAGCCAUAGAAAGCCAAUGUGAAGAGAAAGCCCUGCAUGGGAUUAAGAACCCCCUGAGAAAGAGAAGGGCAACAGGAGUUACACCAGCAAGGAAGGCUUCAUCCUCAACUCUAGCAAAAUUAUUUGCAUGCAUUAAAAUCUUCCCUUUCACUGAAUGAUUGCUGACUUUAAAAUACACUAUUUGCACUCAAAUAAAAAUUUAGUCAUCACAGGCACAAAC